UUAAGCAUAUAAGUAGGCAGAGGAUGAGAUACACAACUGGAUUGGCACAGUAGUUGCGAAUGAACAGCAAAUUGCUCAAAUUGAAUUUGGGGACACCUGGCCCUCAACAUGAAAUCUCUGAAUGCUCCACCAACAAAGGCUCAGGAACAAAACCAUUCUGGAGGGGAUUGUGAAAGUGCCAACAGGGGUGAGAAUCCUGUGGUUCUUGCAGACCUUGUUCACGGUGUCUGCUUUCCAGAGUCAUGCUCCUUGGAACUGGAGUGCAAAGUGGGUGGUAGCUUCCACACAAAGGCAAACACACCACUGAGACUGACAGUGAAGAAGUACCGUGAGGGAAGUAUGAAAAGGACUUUGGAAAGAGAUUUAAAAGAGCCUGCACUUGCUGGACAACAAGCAUACAGAAUGAUCGUGUGAUUGGACAGAUUGCUGUGUGAAUACAGGUAACAAUCCUGUGCUGCUGCGGAGAUUCUUUCUUGGUGUGCCAACUAGUGUGAGAGCAGUCAGUAUCUGUGGGCAGUGCUUGGGGUGUGUCUUGUGUCACAUGUGAUUGUAUGUACCUGGUCUGAACAUGUGAAACUGCAUCUACUGGCAAUGAAGAGUUAUGCAUGCAGUUGCUUUCACCAACGGUUCACCUUGUCAACGACAUGGGUGCCUUUCUGUGUGACCCGUCUUGAAACACGGACCAAGGAGUCUAGGCAGUAUGCAAGCUUGGGGGUGACAAACUCUGAGCACAAUGAAGCUGGAGUCCCGGAAAUGGCAGGGGUGUUCAACCAAGCAACAGGACAAGGUUUGAGUCUGAGCACACUUGUUAGGACCCGAAAGAUGGUGAACUAUGCCUGAAAAGGGCCAAGCCA
rnacentral:rRNA from 1 species